rnacentral:rRNA from 1 species
GGGCGGCCGAUGUCCGAUUAGCUGGUUGGUGGGGUAAUGGCCUACCAAGGCGACGAUCGGUAGCUGGUCUGAGAGGAUGAUCAGCCACACUGGGACUGAGACACGGCCCAGACUCCUACGGGAGGCAGCAGUGGGGAAUUUUGGACAAUGGGGGCAACCCUGAUCCAGCCAUGCCGCGUGCGGGAAGAAGGCCUUCGGGUUGUAAACCGCUUUUAGCCGGGACGAAAGCUGCACGGAUAACACCCGUGCGGGUUGACGGUACCGGCGGAAUAAGCACCGGCUAACUACGUGCCAGCAGCCGCGGUAAUACGUAGGGUGCGAGCGUUAAUCGGAAUUACUGGGCGUAAAGCGUGCGCAGGCGGUUCGUUGUGUCGGCGGUGAAAGCCCCGGGCUCAACCUGGGAAUGGCCGUUGAAACUGGCGAACUGGAGUGUGACAGACGGGGGUGGAAUUCCGCGUGUAGCAGUGAAAUGCGUAUAGAUGCACAGG